rnacentral:rRNA from 1 species
CGUGAGGGAAAGGUGAAAAGCACCCCGGGAGGGGAGUGAAACAGUUCCUGAAACCGUGCGCCCACAAACCGUCGGAGCCUCCGCGUGGGGUGACGGCGUGCCUAUCGAAAAAUGAGUCUGCGAGUCAGUGGCGGGUGGCGAGCAUAAGCCGUGUGGCGUAUGCGUAGCGAAAGCGAGUCUUAAAAGGCGUUUUUAGUCGCUUGUCCUGGACCCGAAGCGGGAUGAUCUAGCCCUGGGCAGGUUGAAGCGCGGGUAAGACCGCGUGGAGGACCGAACCCACCUGGGUUGAAAACCGGGGGGAUGACCUGGGGCUAGGGGUGAAAGGCCAAUCAAAUUCCGUGAUAGCUGGUUCUCUCCGAAAUGCAUUUAGGUGCAGCGUCGGUCGAUUGCGUCGCGGGGGUAGAGCUACCGGAUGCUUGCGGGCCCUUGUUGGGUACCAACAGCAGCCGAACUCCGAAUACCGUUGACGUGUAUUCCGGCAGUGAGUCGGCGGGGGAUAAGCUCCGUCGUCGAGAGGGAGACAGCCCAGACCGUCGUCUAAGGUCCCGAAGCGUGUGCUAAGUGGGAAAGGAUGUGGAGUCGCAUAGACAGCCAGGAGGUUGGCUCAGAAGCAGCCAUCCUUGAAAGAGUGCGUAACAGCUCACUGGUCUAGUGGUUCCGCGCCGACAAUGUAGCGGGGCUCAAGCACACCACCGAAGACGCGGCAGCAAUCUUCAUGGUUGCUGGGUAGGAGAGCGUCCUGCGAGGGGCGAAGCGGCCGGGUAACCGUGCCGUGGACUUCGUGGGAGUGAGAAUGCAGACAUGAGUAGCGAGAGACGGGUGAGGAUCCCGUCCGCUGGAUGACCAAGGGUUCCGGGGCCACGUUCGUCGUCCCCGGGUGAGUCGGGUCCUAAGGCGAGGCCGACAGGCGUAGUCGAAUGGAUGAACGGGUGGAUAUUCCCGUACCGACCAUGGACCGGCAAAACCGAGACGGUGAGUACUAACCUCCGCCUCGUGGUGGUUCCUUCCUUCGGGUUGGUUCCGCCGCGUGGUGUUGGGAGCGUAGCCGCAGUAGGUCAGCGCAGGGGUGACACGGAAUGGGAGCCGGCCGCGGAGGUGGUUUUCCGUGGUCAAGCACGCAGCCAGUCAUGUAGGCAAAUCCGCAUGGCGCGCAUGGCGAGGUGUGAUGAUGGGAGCCGUUACGGCUCGAUAUCCGGUUGUCCAGGCCGUCGAGAAAAGCCUCGGCGUGAGGGCCAUGGCCGCCCGUACCCCAAACCGACACUGGUGGUCAGGUAGAGAAUACCAAGGCGAUCGAGCGAAUCCUGGUCAAGGAACUCGGCAAAUCACUCCCGUGCCUUCGGUAUAAGGGAGACCCGCUGGGGUGAACCGGCUAGCCCGGGGAGCUUUGGUGGGUGGCACAGACCAGGGGGUAGCGACUGUUUACCAAAAACACAGGUGCAUGCGAAGGCGAAAGCCGCUGUAUAUGCACUGACGCCUGCCCGGUGCCGGAAGGUUAAGAGGAUCCGUCAAUCCCUUCGGGGACGAAGCGGUGAAUUCAAGCCCCGGUAAACGGCGGUGGUAACUAUAACCAUCCUAAGGUAGCGAAAUUCCUUGUCGGGUAAGUUCCGACCUGCACGAAUGGCGUAACGACUUCCCCACUGUCUCGACCAGGAGCUCGGCGAAAUUGCAGUACGAGUAAAGAUGCUCGUUAAGCGCAGAAGGACGAAAAGACCCCGGGACCUUUACUAUACCUUGGUAUUGGCGUUAGGCGCGGAUUGUGUAGCAUAGGCGGGAGGCUUCGAAGCGUGGGCGCCAGCUCAUGUGGAGCCGCAAGGUGAAAUACCGCUCUGUUCUCGUUUGACGUCUAACCUCGACAAGUCAUCCUUGUCAGGGACAGUGCCUGGCGGGUAGUUCAACUGGGGCGGUUGCCUCCCAAAGAGUAACGGAGGCGCUCAAAGGUCCGCUCAGCCCGGUUGGCAAUCGGGUGUCGAGUGUAAUCGCACAAGCGGGCUUGACUGCGAGGACGACGGUCCGAGCAGGGACGAAAGUCGGAGAUAGUGAUCCGGUGCCGGCGCACGGGCGCGGCAUCGCUCAACGGAUAAAAGGUACCCCGGGGAUAACAGGCUGAUCAUUCCCAAGAGUCCAUAUCGACGGGAUGGUUUGGCACCUCGAUGUCGGCUCGUCGCAUCCUGGGGCUG